GAUGAACGCUGGCGGCGUGCCUAAUACAUGCAAGUCGAGCGAACAGACGCGGAGCUUGCUCCUCUGACGUUAGCCGCGGACGGGUGAGAAACACGUGGAUACCCUACCUAUAAGACUGGGAUAAUCUCGGAAAACCGGAGCUAAUACGGGAUAAUAUAUUGAUCCACAUGGUUCAAUAGUGAAAGACGGCUGUGCUGUAUCUUAUCGAUGGAUCCGCGCCGCAUUAGCUAGUUGGUACGGUAACGGCUUACCAAGGCAACGAUGCGUAGCCGACCUGAGAGGGUGAUCGGCCACACGGGAACUGAGACAGGGUCCAGACUCCUACGGGAGGCAGCAGUAGGGAAUCUUACGCAAUGGGCGAAAGCCUGACGGAGCAACGCGGCGUGAGUGAUGAAGGUCUUCGGAUCGUAAAACUCUGUUAUUAGGUAAGAACAAAUGUGGAAGUAAAUAUGCACGUCUUGACGGUACCUAGUCAGAAAGCCACGGCUAACUACGUG
rnacentral:rRNA from 1 species